AAUAUGCGUCUUUCCCACUACACGUAAAUCUAUCAUCACAGUUUAAAAAUUUUAAGACAUUUUUUUGAUCUAUGAUGGCUUUUUGUGUUUUUAAUAAUUAGUUGUGCAGAAUUCCUAUGAUGUUAAACUGACACUGUGAUUAAGAAUUAGUAAUUAUAUUUGCUAUUGCCAGCUAGCUUGUGAGUAAUUGCUCUGUUAUUGGCUAGGAUGUGGAAAAACAGUGGAACUAUGAUUGUAAUAUGUGAAUAAUAUCAAAUUGUCUUUUUGUGCGGUUGGCGUAAGUAUAAAGAUCAAUCCAUGUUUUGAGUGAAGCUUCUCAGGCCAAUUAAGUUGAUUCUGUCUGGGUUUUUUUUAUAUAUGCCAUUAUGUUUAAAUAUAAAUACUGCACAUGUUUGAAUUUAAUCAUCUUAAACAUUAAAAAAAAAUUUAGGUGUGCAAAGGUUGUUUGAAGGUUGAUUUUGUUUACUGGUGAUAAGAUGAGUGAAGAGAAGGAAUUGGUAUGUAUUUGUUUACUCCAAGGUUUCUGCUCAUUCUGGUUAUUGGUUGUAUAACUUAUUACUAAGCUAUUUUUAAAUCAAGCUAUCCAGUAAUUGAACAGGUGGGUUUGACUUAAAUAAAAUAAUUUAAAUGAACUCAUUUAGUCCUUAUCUUUCAGAAUCUUAGUGUCCCGGGUGACUAUCUGUCACCAUCAGGUGAGAACCGGGGCAGCAACUAUGUCCCUUCAUCAUCCACACAUUUUGAUGAUGAUGAGGAGGAGCAGGCACCUUUUAACAGUGCACCUGAAGAUGCACCUGAACAUGCACCUGAAGAUGUUGAUGCCACCUAAGGGCACAAGGAAAGUGUUUCAAAGAAGGAAGAGGAAGUGGCAAAGUGCCAGCCACCACGUUCAAAAAAACGCAAAAACCAAGCUUCAGACAUGGAUGAGGAAGUAGACAUCUCUAAUAAGCAGGCUUCAACUGCAGGAGUCAUGGUGUUAAAUGUUGCCAAAAGAUCGACUGAAACAGGUAAGCUUCUGUCUACUUGUCGUCUGUUGUACAGUUUUUCUGCUUUACAUCUGCAUUU
ensembl:lncRNA